AGAAAUAUAAUUAAGUAACAGUGGAAGCUAAAACAUCAGACUGAUCCAGACACUGAAGAAAUUGAUGUCACUGCAAUCUGGCCAAAAUGAUACAACUAAAUUGGAGUAGCCUACUGUAAUGAAGCUGCAGAACGUCACAGAGACUCUGAGGACAUCAACACACAAAAUCAAGGCUCCAAAGAGAUGUCUGUCCAGAUGAGGGUGCAUCAACGUUACCUUUGCUGACAAGUAUAUGCUUUUAGCAGUUAACUUAACUCAAACCAUUAAAGGAAAUCGGUUGCCUUAAACCAUUAAGUUUUAAAAAAACAUACAUUUGAGUACUUUGAACUUAAGUCUUGUGCAAUUAUGCACUUAUAUUUAGGUAGCGUGAACUUAAACAAAUUGAGUCACAUGCAGUUAAGCACUUAUAUUUAAGUUCACAGUACUCAAAUCUAUGUGUUUUAAAACUUGAAUGGUUUAAUGCAACCGGUUUUCUUAAAUGUGAGAAAUUACAGUGUUACAGUGAGAAAUGUUUGAAUAAUUCCAAGACAGAGCUCUGUGAAUAAUUAUACACUGCAAAAAAUCACUUUCUAACACUUUUUAUCUUGUUUUCAGUAGAAAAACAAAAAAUUCUUAAAUCAAGAUGUAUUUUCUUGAUGAGCAAAAUUACCUUAGAAAAUAUGUCUAGUUUUUAGACAAAAAUAUACAAUUUAAGAUAAUUUGUGCCUAAACAAGCAAAAAUAUCUAACAUUGGGGUGAGAAAAUUGUGUUUUAAUUAAGUUUUUAAGAUAAAAGAAAACUUAAGAUUUUUUUUCUCACACUAUUGGAAGAUAUUUUUGCUUGUUUUAAGCACAAUUUCACUUAAUGUAUGUGUGUGUAUUUUAUUUAUUUAUUUAUUUUGUCUAAAACUAGACUUAUUUUCUUGGGUCAUUUUGUUCCUCAAGAACAAGCAUUUUAAUUUAAAUAAUAUUUGUACUGAAAAGAAGACAAAAAUACUAUGUAAGAGAGUAAUUUUUUGCAGUGUAGGACUGAUUUCUUAAGAGCAAGAUCAAUAUAGUUGUUGUUCAUUUUAUUUAGAUAUUUACUACAUUACAGUGGCAGCUGGUGACGACUUUUUUUUUGUGAGCACUCGAUGCGAAGUUUGUCACAACAUGUAUAUAGCCUGUCAUUUGUGUGGUUCUCAAUUUCAAAAUAUGUGUUCUGCGUGUAUGUGUAUCACGUGUUUUGACUAAACACGUGAUGCACGUGGUUUACAUGAAGCAACAAACACAUAUUUUAAAAACACAAGCAACACACAUGACACUCCGAACACUUAUUUUGAAUUUGCAACCCUCGGAUGAGCAGUCACGAGCCGCCACUGCUACAUUACAUUGUACUGCUUUGAAUGUAGUUUUCAUUGUUGCUUUUAUUUUGUUUUAUUUUACUCUAAUAUUGCUUUCUCUGUCUGUAUAUUUAUGAGUUUAAAUUGUAUUGUUUAU